CGCGGGGUGGAGCAGCCCGGUAGCUCGCGAGGCUCAUAACCUCGAGGUCGCAGGUUCGAAUCCUGUCCCCGCUA
rnacentral:tRNA from 1 species